rnacentral:lncRNA from 12 species
CCAGCAAGAAUAAGUAAUUACUAGUUUAAAAAAUGCAUUUCUUUGAUUUUGUUUUGCAGAGGUGACGACCUGCUGGAGCAAACGCCCAAGGGAAUUAAUGGAAGAUCUGGUCCAACCAUGAACUGCCCAGCAAAGGAAGGGGAGGGAGCUGUGGCAGCAGGGCAGGUAUCAGGAAAGAGGUGAUAUUAGGACAGCAGAGGGAUGGGUGAUGACCCCUCUCUGGUGACAAGUGACAGAACACAAGGAAAUGGAAUGAAGCACUGUUGGGGAGGUUGAAAUUGGACAUCAGGAACAUCUUCACUAGAGGCUCACCACAGGUGGUUGUCUACUGGAACACCCAGCUUCCCAGGGGAGUGAUGAUGGCACCAAGCCUGUCAGAGUUCUAGAAAAGUGUCUGGACAAUGCUCUUAGUCAUAUGGGUAAGUUUGAGGUAAUCCUGUGAGAAGAAUUGGACUUGUUAAUCUUUAUGCAUCCU